UCUGCCUGCCACAGCUCCACCACGUUCGGCAAGGGUUCAAAUGCUGCACGGACACCAAAAAACACACCGCGUUUGUAAUGCACGGAAAAGAAACGCUUCCUGUUUCCUCGCUCGUCCCCUCGUGCCACCCGCCUGCCCCAAACAAGUCUCCCUCUCCCCUCGCAGGGCAGGCCACCCGAGGGGACGAGGAUGCAAAUACAAUGCCCAGACAGCGAUCCCGGGGUCCAGAAGGUUUUCCAGGGCAGCCUGCUACUUUCACUUUGAGCUCUUUACAAAGGGGGUGAUUGACCGUUGUUCACCAAGCAGAAGCAUGUAUCUGCAGUACCAUGAGGCUGGAGAAGGAUCCAGGAUCACACAGCUGCCUUCUUAGAUAAAUCUGACCCACUCAGCCUUCCCUGGAGGUAUGUUUCAUGCUGAUUCAUGAGCAACAGGAAGGUAUGGCCCAUUAAGCAGCUUCCAUAUUUUGAAGUAAAAUUGUUCUCCAAAGAUAACACCUAUGUAUUUGUGCUAUGUUUCUGCUCUCCCCCUGUCAAUGAUAGAGCCACAGACUGUUAUUGCUGAGAAACUGAGGAAAAUCUUUAUUCUUUUUAUUUAACUUUAUUGUUAUUGUUGUUGUUGUUGUUAAAUAUAUGUCAUAAGCUAAACACAAAAAGCAAAACACAGUAACAAAAAAACUCCCCCUCAACUCUGCCUAGUGGCCCAAGUGGUUUCUAGAAAUGCUGAGGCAGGAGAACAGAGAGCUCUCAAGACCACCCUGCGGGCAACAGAGUUCAUACAAAGACCACCUAGGCAACUUUAUGAGACUUUGCCUCAAAAUUAAAAAGGAAAAGAAGGCUGGGGAUGUAACUCAGUACUGCAGUCCUUGCCCCAUUCACAAGACCCUGGCUUUAACCCUCAGCACCACAAAACCGCAAUGACAACACCGAUUCCUAUUUCAAAAUAUCCAUGAUGUUAACAGUGUUUUUAACUUUUUUUUAGAGUACGGAUGAAAAGCGAGUCUAUAUACAAAUGAUAUCUCGAUACAGCCUACCUAAAUUUGAUUCAAGUGGUAAACCCAACAACCCUAAUCUAGAGAAGAGUACCCAUGCUAAGUCACAGGAAGUACUGUGGAGACGAGACAUGCUAAACAUCUGGCACUAGGUGCUCACUAAGUGCUAGAAAUCAUACAACAGUUUAUUCCCAUUGUGGAGGUGUGUCACACCUAUAAAGUGGUAAAUUUGAUGCUAAUGCUUCAAAUCCACGAGUUUCCUAUUUAUUAACGCAUCACUUAUCAUUCAAACAUUGGAAUAAUUCCUAUAUAUGUAGCAGCCUUCUGUUGGUCCAUCCAUCAGUUUUAGGCCUCACCCAAGUGAAACAAGACCAAGAGUUUCACUAAGCCACUGGGAGCUAAGCUUUAGCUCUGACUAGAAGGAAAUUCCCACAAGCAGGGUAGAAACCUAUGUUCCUGAGAUUCAACCUGCUGCCUUGACUCAAAGGCACUCUUUUUGCCACAGUACUUGUUAGAAUUAUUUUUACAUUUACUUGUUGUGUAUAUCGGUGUGAGUGUGUGUGUGGAAGUUAAAGGAUAACCCAUGAAGUCAUUCUUUCCACCUUGUGGAUCCCAGGACUUGAACUGUGGGCCUUCGUGGUUAGAGGUAAUAGCUAUAACUUUACCCCAUCUUACCUCCUGAAGCCUCCAGUGUGCACGAUUAUUAAGAAUUUUCUUGCCUGAAAGAAGGCCCUCACUACAUGCACAAACUAGGUAGGUUAGAUUUCCCAGGUUCUGAAUUGUUAGGAAUACAUUUCUUUCCUUAUAAAUUAUCUAGUCUGUAGUAUUCUUUGAUAGCAGUGUAAAGCUAAGACAUUAGGCAUUUUCUUGGCCUCCUCUUCCUCCCAUGCCCAACCUUUAAAGCAAGAGUCUCAGGAUGUUAUCCUCUAUACCCUUCAUUCCUUCUCUGAAUGGACUCGUGUGGUCCUGCAUUACCAUUGUCUUUAAGGAUAUGAGUCUCAAAUUUUUAGCACGUUUGAAAGCUCCACUCGUAAUCCAACUGCCUGCUUGUCACUGUAAUAGCUCACUGUAUUAGAAGCAUCUCAAACAUGACGUGUCUCUAAUUCUUAAUUCCAUCUAUCCAGACUUACUACUUUGAGUCUUAAGUUCAAGUUAUUGGACACCAUCUACCUAGCUCCUCGAGCCAAAAGCCAGGAGUCAUAUUUAAUUCUUCUUUCCUUUAUACCCUUUAAACUUAUCCAAAAAUCAUAAUGUAUCCACUUCCAGAAUGUUUCCAUGGCUUGCCUUUCCACCAUCCCUGUUACCACCUUGCCUGCCCCCAGUCUCUCACACGGUGCCUGUGUGUCCUUGUACUGGCCCCUCUGUCCCCCAGUCUCUCACACAGGUGCCUGUUCGUCCUUGUACUGGCCCCUCUGCUCCCGUGCCCCUUACAUCACAAUUGUACCAGAUCCAGAAUGGCCAUUUAAAAACAGAGCCCCAGUUGUGCAUGAAGUUCUCCAGUAGUUUUCUGCAGCAGAAACAGAAUUUAUAUUAGAGUAAAACUGUCCUGUAAGAACUAUAAGAGAUCUAUCCAUGCCCACCUUCUGACUGCUUAGCCUGGCCUUUCCAAUAACCAGUACUCUUCAGCUCAAUGGUCUUCACAUUCUUCAAGUCCACCAGUACUAAACCCGUCUUUGAGCCUUUGAACUUUCUUCUUUUAAAUUACUUUUAUUAUAUUUUUUUUUUAUCUUUAUGCUUUACUAUCCUGCAACUGGCCAUUUGGACAAGCCUGUCCUCAAACUCACAGAGAUCCAGGAGCCAGUUCUCCCUGCAUCACGUGGAAAGCCAGGAACAAUCACAGGUUGUUGGGCUUGGAAGCAAGUGCCUUUACCUGAAAAGCCAUCUCAACAGCCCUCACUCUGUUUUCUCUGCUGAAAUCCCUAUGCCCUGAUCGUCACAUGGGACUCUCGCAAUCCAUCACCUAUGUAGUGCUGUUGUGUUGGCGUCUACAUGGAGUGUCCAAGGCAGAGGGGUUGGAGUUAACCAUGCUAAGCCCUAGCCCUAGUUCAAGGACACCUAAAGCAAAGAGAGCAUCUCAUUCCACAGACUCACUGACUAAAGGCUAAACCACAUGGCCGGGAACUAUCUCCUGAAAGAGAAGUUCCUCUUUCUACUGUGUCAUUGGAAACUCAUGGUACCUACAUGACUUCAUAAGAACCUGACGGAACUAGUGAGACCCUUACUUUAUUUGGAAACUAAGGCUAGCAGAUGAAACAACUAACCCUUGUUGAAACUCUACCUCAUCUCACCAUUCUGUCUCUUGACAAGAAUAUAAAUUAGAAACCUUUUUUAUAACAGGUUUUAAUUCUACUUGAUAUAGGAUAUUUGUAGUAAAUUUUUAAAAACCCUAUGAAGACCCAGCUAUAGCUGUAAAGCUUAUGGAAUGAGCUGCAGUUAACUAUAAAAAUUGCCUACCCACAUGCCAUCACAGUGAUAAUCUGUGAUAGAUUUAAGUCGCCAUACAUCUAAGCAUACAGACUUUGCCCUUCUAUAGACCUUUGUGCAUGCUGGCUCAUGGCCUAUCGAGACAGUUAUCCAUAUAAACCUCUAAGGUAGAAAAUACAUUGACGUAAUGAGUUUCACUUUGUGAUUGAAAUUGUCUGCUUGGGGAAUCAAAAUAUAUAGAUCCCCACACUGCAUCUUUGCUUGUUUUUCUCCCUCAUUGUUGGAAACAAUAAACUGUCCAAGAGCGGCAAGAAAAUUGA